rnacentral:tRNA from 1 species
UCUGUGGCGUAGUUGGUAGCGCAACUGAUUCGUAAUCAGUAGGUCACGGGUUCGAGUCCCGUCAG